rnacentral:rRNA from 1 species
GACGAACGCUGGCGGCGUGCCUAAUACAUGCAAGUCGAACGCAUUUUCUUUCACCGUAGCUUGCUACACCGAAAGAAAAUGAGUGGCGAACGGGUGAGUAACACGUGGGUAACCUGCCCAUCAGCGGGGGAUAACACUUGGAAACAGGUGCUAAUACCGCAUAAUUCCAUUUACCGCAUGGUAGAUGGAUGAAAGGCGCUUUUGCGUCACUGAUGGAUGGACCCGCGGUGCAUUAGCUAGUUGGUGGGGUAACGGCCUACCAAGGCUGCGAUGCAUAGCCGACCUGCGAGGGUGAUCGGCCAGCCUGGGACUGAGACACGGCCCAGACUCCUACGGGAGGCAGCAGUAGGGAAUCUUCGGCAAUGGACGCAAGUCUGACCGAGCAACGCCGCGUGAGUGAAGAAGGUUUUCGGAUCGUAAAACUCUGUUGUUAGAGAAGAACAAGGAUGAGAGUGGAAAGUUCAUCCCUUGACGGUAUCUAACCAGAAAGCCACGGCUAACUACAUG